UGAGUUGAUUGGAUAGUCGCAGGCAUAAGGUGAAAACCUGUGCGUGAGGAAAGUCCGGGCUCCAAAGGGCAGGGUGCCGGGUAGUUCCCGGUGAAGGCGACUUCAAGGAUAGUGCAACAGAAAUAUACCGCCGGUAAUAAUCGGUAAGGGUGGAAAGGCGAGGUAAGAGCUCACCAGCGGGCUGGCGACAGUCCGGCUCUGUAAACCCCACCUGGAGCAACACCGUGGAGGGACAUUAAUGUGGCCCGCAUGUCCCGGGGAGGUGGCUUGAGCCAUUCAGAAAUGAUUGGCCUAGAUAGAUGACUGUCCACGACAGGACCCGGCUUAUAGAUCAACUCAGAAA
rnacentral:RNase_P_RNA from 1 species